rnacentral:rRNA from 1 species
UAACGCGUGAGGAACCUGCCUCAAAGAGGGGGACAACAGUUGGAAACGACUGCUAAUACCGCAUAAGCCCACAGCUCGGCAUCGAGCAGAGGGAAAAGGAGUGAUCCGCUUUGAGAUGGCCUCGCGUCCGAUUAGCUAGCUGGUGAGGUAAUGGCCCACCAAGGCGACGAUCGGUAGCCGGACUGAGAGGUUGAACGGCCACAUUGGGACUGAGACACGGCCCAG